UACGUAGGUGGCAAGCGUUAAUCGGAAUUACUGGGCGUAAAGCGUGCGCAGGCGGUCUGCUAAGAGAGAUGUGAAAUCCCCGGGCUUAACCUGGGAACUGCGUUUCUAACUGGCAGGCUUGAGUGUGGCAGAGGGGGGUGGAAUUCCACGUGUAGCAGUGAAAUGCGUAGAGAUGUGGAGGAACACCGAUGGCGAAGGCAGCCCCCUGGGCUAACACUGACGCUCAUGCACGAAAGCGUGGGGAGCAAACAGG
rnacentral:rRNA from 1 species